UUUGUGAUGUACUGUUUUCUACAUAAAAUCAUCCUAAACAAUGAAAAGAACAUUUUGUAAAAAUAUCUUAUCUUUAAUAUUGGCUGAGUAAGAUUCUUUGUAUAAACCCUCAGUCUGUUAAUUUUGUCUCCAGCCUGUCAAGAUCUUCAGCAGAUGUUUGAGCAAAAAGUCAUCAUCCUCUUUGUCACUCUUCAUCCGUAUUUGGGGUAACAAGCACCUGCUUCCCACAAGAGACUGGACAGCUGAUGUCAGACCUGCACCUUCCUUGAACAUGUUGGUAUCUUACUCUGUAUUUGUUCACGGUGGUCACCCCAGGGUCUCAGGACUCAAAACGAGUGCUCUAUGGAUUGAACAUAAAAUGUAGUAUAAACAAGUGUUAUGUUUUUAAAUGCCACU